AGAAAUGCAGAGAAAUUCAGUCAUCUUGGAGAGAGAGGUGUUCAUCUGAACGGUGAACGGGCUUCUGAAGCUGAAGCUUCUCGAAGUCUGCAAGUCCAUGCCCAGAUCUCUGCCCUCAUAAACAAAGGGAAGUACAAAGAGGAAGGGGUGCAGCUCAGCCUGGACAUGUAGCAUGGGGCCAAAAUGAUCCACGCUGCAGCACAGAUCAAAGGCAAAGACCAGCCUGAUGCAAGGACAUUGUUAACCACUUUUGGUGGUGCUGCAAAAAGCUGUAUCAUCACACAACUUCAUUGAGCUGUGGCCAGGACAAAUGAACACUGCUGGGGAACUGCCAACAUGUGCACAUGGAACACGACGGGAGGAAUCACAUCGGUCCAUGAGGCUCUUAAGGACAUUAUCGGGAGCAAUAUCUCCUCUCUGCUUGAGGAGGAGUCUCCACUCCUUUCUUCCCAUUUCCUGUUUGUUGUGUGAGCGUGAGUGAGGGAGGUGGACAUGUGAGUGGUGCAGAGUUUUUUCUAUCCCUGUUUUUUGGAUUUUAGGACCUGAUAAACAGUUCUUGAAAGAUGAGCGUCAGGUUCAUUAUGUGAUACAGAUAUCAGGGAUAUUUUUGCGCAGGUAUCCCCGC